CGGGUCGCACCAGCAGUGGGGAAUAUUGCACAAUGGAGGAAACUCUGAUGCAGCAACGCCGCGUGGAGGAUGACACUUUUCGGAGCGUAAACUCCUUUUAUAUAGGAAGAAGAUGACGGUACUAUAUGAAUAAGCGCCGGCUAACUCCGUGCCAGCAGCCGCGGUAAUACGGAGGGCGCAAGCGUUACUCGGAAUCACUGGGCGUAAAGAGCGUGUAGGCGGAUUAAAAAGUCAGAAGUGAAAUCCUAUAGCUUAACUAUAGAACUGCUUCUGAAACUCUUAAUCUAGAAUAUGGGAGAGGUAGAUGGAAUUUCUGGUGUAGGGGUAAAAUCCGUAGAGAUCAGAAGGAAUACCGAUUGCGAAGGCGAUCUACUAGAACAUUAUUGACGCUGAGACGCGAAAGCGUGGGGAGCAAACAGGAUUAGAUACCCCAGUAGUC
rnacentral:rRNA from 1 species